AAAAAGAUAAAACCUGGGUUUCCGUGUCCAACGUUUGACUGUCCGUCUUAUAUGAAAUUUUUUUAUAAUUAGUAUUUUUAUUAUUGUUAAAUGAUAAAACAUGAUCAAUACUUUAUAUAUGACUUGUCUUUUUAAUUUUUUUCAUAAUUUUUUUAAAUAAGACGAACGGUUAAACGUUGGAC
rnacentral:pre_miRNA from 1 species